UAAGACGAACCGUGCGAACGUUAUUCGGAAUCAUUGGGCUUAAAGGGCGCGUAGGCGGCGGUGUAAGUUGGAAGUGAAAUCCCAUCGGCUCAACCGUGGAAUUGCUCCCAGUACUGCAUCGCUCGAGGGGGAUAGGGGUUUGCGGAACUACCGGUGGAGCGGUGAAAUGUGUUGAUAUCGGUGGGAACGCCAGUGGCGAAAGCGGCAAACUUGACCCUUCCUGACGCUGAGGCGCGAAAGCUAGGGGAGCAAACGGG
rnacentral:rRNA from 1 species